GCAAUGCGGGGCCGCUACGGUUCCGGCGCGAUCUGCCGGAUGAAAAGGGAACACCGGCGCGCCCAUCGCCGCGAUGCGGACGGGCAAGGCCGGGGCUGCCCCCGCAACUGUAGGCGGUGAGCGAAGGCCGAAGGCGCCACUGGGAAGAUCCCCGGGAAGGCCGGCCCGAGCGAUGAUCCGCCAGCCAGGAGACCUGCCGCAGCGAUCACCCAUUU
rnacentral:ncRNA from 2 species